rnacentral:lncRNA from 1 species
UGAGUGGAGUUCCCGCGUAGAGACGGUCCGGGUGAAAGUAAAACCUCUGCGUGCCCGUCCCACGCCGCUCCCGAGAAGUCGGUGUGCUGGGAAAAGUGUAAAAAUGGGAAUUGUUGACCUGAGGGAAAUCCUCGCGCUUCCCUGCAGCCGAGGGUGAAGGAGCGGCCCCGAGUAUUUCCCACAGCGAGGGCACAUCCCCACACUGAGGAGAAACCCCCACAGACCCACUCCGGGGGAUCCCCGAGUUGUCUGAGGGAAGAAGGCAGAAAGGUCAGGGGACUGGCCACAGAGAGCACUCAGAGCUGAGCCUAGAAAGCAGACUUCGUGUUUCCCACGCCUACGUAUCAACAACUAGACUUGGCUUGCCUACACCAGAAAAUAGACUGGCAUAGCUGGAGCUGGGUAAUUAUACUGUAACAGUUUAUGCCGGAAUAACUCUCCUUGUGGACACUCUCCUCCAGAUGGAAAGUGACUUCCCAAAAGCUGUCCAAAUGAAUUCACUCAACAGCACACACUUGGAGUUUUGUCUUCCCCCCCCCUCCCACCCCCCUUUCCCUCUUCAUUUUGGGGGGUAAAAAUUCCUGAGAUAUGGGUCUCGGCAGCGUUUUGAAGCCUUUGAUCACUUUUACAGACCAUUAAAAGCGGGGACAAAUGCAAAACAUGUCAUUGAAAUGCUACAAGUCUUGUUGUCAAGAUUUUUAUGGUGCUUUUCAUCAAAAUGUUGAAAACUGAAAGCUUCCAGCUGGCUCUCCAUGCAGCUGAAGGCAUGGCAACAGAGGGAGGAGAGGACAGAAACAAGAAGUACCCAGCUAAAGCUCUGUGAAAGAAAACAUG